rnacentral:rRNA from 1 species
GACGAACGCUGGCGGCGUGCCUAAUACAUGCAAGUAGGACGCAGUUGCGAAUGGGUGAGUAACGCCUAGGUUACUGCCUCUUAGAGGGGGAUAACUUUUGGAAACGAUAGCUAAUACCGCAUACUAGUAGAUGGACCUGCGGUGUAUUAGCUAGUAGGUGGGGUAAUGGCCGACCUAGGCAACGCUACAUAGCCGACCUGAGAGGGUGAUCGGCCAAACUGGGACUGAGACACGGCCCAGAAUCCUAAGGGAGGCAGCAGUAGGGAAUCUUCGGCAAUGGGGGGAAGCCUGACAGAGCAACGCCGCGGGAGUGAAGAAGGUUUUCGGAUCGUAAAGCUCUGUUGUUAAGGAAGCGGUACUUAACCAGAAAGGGACGGCUAACUACGUGCCAGCAGCCGCGGUAAUAC